GACGAACCGUGCAAACGUUAUUCGGAAUCACUGGGCUUAAAGGGCGCGUAGGCGGGCUGCCAGGUCCGGGGUGAAAGCCUCCAGCUCAACUGGAGAAGUGCCUUGGAUACCGGCGGCCUCGAGGGAGGCAGGGGCGUGCGGAACUUCGGGUGGAGCGGUGAAAUGCGUAGAUAUCCGAAGGAACACCGGUGGCGAAAGCGGCGCGCUGGACCUCUUCUGACGCUGAGGCGCGAAAGCCAGGGGAGCAAACGGG
rnacentral:rRNA from 1 species